AUGCUGCCGGCUCUCUGCUCUCUCCUCGCCGCUCUCUCAUGUGUCAGUGGUGUGACCGUGGUGACCCAGAAGCCUCCUGUUUUCACGCCGAAGAAAGGAGAAAAGAUCACCAUGUACUGCAACCUGGGAACUGUUACUGGCAGUGCUGCACGAUGGUACAAGCAGGUUCCAGGAGAAGCUCUUCACUCGUCCCCGCCGCCUCUCCUCCUUCAUCUGCUCCUCGAGCUCCUCGUCUCUUCUCUCAGCACCAGAGUCCCAUCAGACGCCUCCGAGAUGCUGCCGGCUCUCUGUUCUCUCCUCGCCGCUCUCUCAUGUGUCAGUGGUGUGACCGUGGUGACCCAGAAGCCUCCUGUUCUCACGGUGAAGAAAGGAGAAAAGAUCACCAUGUACUGUAACCUGGGAACUGUUACUGACAGUGGUUCUGGGUGGUACAAGCAGGUUCCAGGAGAAGCUCCUCAGUAUUUGUUACAUAAUUAUCAUAGCUGGAGCUCUCCUAGUUAUGGAUCUGGUUUCUCGGCUCCUAAAUUCACAUCCACACACUCGUCCAAGUCUGAUUACACUCUAAUAAUCAAUAACGUGGAGGUUGGAGAUUCUGCAGUGUAUUACUGUAAGACAUGGGACAGCUCUGUUAAAGGGUGGGUAUCACAGUGAUUGAGAUCAUGACAAAAACCUCCUCACUGCUCACCACUCUCACUUCUGCUUUCACACACCAACACAAACAACAAGAAGCUUCACAUCUGGAUCUGAGAGCCCUCAGACCAAUAGAAUGAGCUCGUAACCUCUGCGUGUCUGUGGACUCAGAUCUCAGUUUUAGUAGUCAUGUUACUAAAUCAGCAUUUAAUCACCUUAAGAACAUCAACAAGAUCAGAGAUUUCCUGACUGAACCAGACCUGGAGAAACUCGUCCAGGCUUUUAUUUCCAGUGUGAUUGAUGACUGUCCUGGUCUCCUAACUGGACUCUCCACAAAACCCUUAAACAACUUAACCUUACAGUCAUAAGCAGGAAGUCAUAAAUCCAAACUGAAUCAGACCCGCUGAUGUCAAGCUUGAAAAUAAAGAACGUGCUGGACAGUCAGAUAGCGACACGCUGCAAACGUCCAGUCUAGAGGUGAUGGAAGCACAUACUGGUUUCUCAGCAUCAUGUAUGGGUCG